rnacentral:rRNA from 1 species
UACGUAGGGUGCAAGCGUUGUCCGGAAUUAUUGGGCGUAAAGAGCUCGUAGGCGGUUCGUCACGUCGGCUGUGAAAUCCCGAGGCUCAACCUCGGGUCUGCAGUCGAUACGGGCGGACUGGAGUACUGCAGGGGAGACUGGAAUUCCUGGUGUAGCGGUGAAAUGCGCAGAUAUCAGGAGGAACACCAGUGGCGAAGGCGGGUCUCUGGGCAGUAACUGACGCUGAGGAGCGAAAGCGUGGGGGAGCGAACAGG